UUGCUAAGAACUUUCCUUACACUAGAUGACAAGUUGUCUUUUGCAGGAGCCUCUGCUUGGAUACAAGAGAAGCCCUUCAGCAUCCCCUUCAUCCAAAGCCAGAGAUCUCUCCCUUAUUGAUUGAACAUCCUUCAGUUCUUUCUCUGUGUAGAACUGAAUGUCUAUCUCCUACUGAAAUUUCAUGUACACAAGGUCAGAAGAGGCUCCUUAAAGCUGAGAGCAAUGUAGCACCAUAAAUUCCAGGACAUGAAACAGGCCCUUUUGAGCUACAUGAAAGGUUAUCCAAGGAGAAUAAGGUCUGAAAUAGCCACAGAAGCAGUCUGUCACACGAUCCAUUGAACUCCCAGAAGAUCUGACAGCUCAGACAUCCUGCUCCUCCUGCAUGAAAGGCAAAGUACCUCUACUCACCAUGGCAUUGCUGAUGGUCUACCUCAUGGUUCCAUAUAUCUUAAUUAGAGGAGAACCCUGGAAAAAACUCAUAAUCUACCUCCCACUGGUGCUCCUGAUUGCUAGGCUUGCCCAAAGUUGCUAAUAGCUUGUCUGCAACAGGGCUUCAGGACAGUAGCAGCUCCUCUACUAGAUGAGCAGAGAUCAAAUGACCAAGGCAGCACAGGGCUUCACAGCUCUGGAUUCUACCCUAGGGAGAGACAGGGCUCUAGUCUGGGAAAUAUGUAUUUUAGUAGAAACUAUUCCAGUCUCUCAGAGCACUUUCUGUUCCUCUUCCAAGAGGUGUGUGUUUUAUUACACAGUCACUGGCCAGUGCAGGCUACCAUUUCCUUCAUAGCUCAGAAAUUCUGUAGCCAAACCUAAGUCAUAUAAAACAAGAACUGCUGUUAAAGAAAAAGGAGAUCAUGAAUUAAAAAACAAUGAAGUGUCUAUGGAAUGGCUUAGAAGUAGAAAAGCAAUAAUGCAAAUGAUAUAAUAUAAUCCCCAAAAAUUAUUUUAAAAAAUUGAAACAAGCUACAUGGCCAUGUGCUUCAGAGACUAGGGGUUUGUGUUAGAGCACAAUAUGUAUUAGUCACGCAUUUUCUCUCAGGUUGUUCAUCUUAAACUUGUAAAAUAAUUGUACUUUAGGCAGGGCUACACCAUAUUAUCCAGUUCUAUUUUGGUCAAACUAGUGUAAGUACGGUAGUUUGGUUUUGUGAUAAGUUCAGUUCUUUAUCCAGAUUCUUGAUUUCCUGUUCUGUGGAUGCAAAUGGCCAGUCAGAACAAUUAAUAAUCAUCUAAAAUACAUAAAAUUGAUCACCUCACUACUUAUUUCUAAUGUGAGCUACAGUCAAAGGCAAAGACCUUUGAUGCUUCUUCUAGCCCAUCCCUUUCUGUAAGGACAGUACACCUGUUUUAAAUUUGGUCAGUGAACUCAAUUCUUACACAGGUCCUUUUUCAUAUGGAAGUUUGCAAUACAAUCAAGAGAUGUUGGAGGACACUCAUUUACCAGUCUAUUUUUACUUCACAAUGACCAGUUAGGUCUAGUCUUGAAGCAGUUUGCAGAACUUUCUUUCCCACACUUGGCAGCAGAAGCAGAAUUAGAUGUUCGAAGCAAUUCUCAACUGCAUAGUAUGAGGCAAGCCAAAGUAACAAGAGACAUUGCUCUAAACAGAAAUAACUCCCUUGAGAAAAAUGGAAAGAAAUUAUUAAUGACCUGAAAAAAAUGGGGAAUAGAAGAAAAUAAGAGAUUAGAGCAGAGAUGCAUUAAACAAAAUCAAAUUUUAACAGUGAAACAAAUAAUUGUCUUUUUAAAAAAUAAACAGAAUUGAAAAAAACACAAGGCUCUACUGACUUUCAAAAAGAGAACACAGUUCUCUGGUAGAGGGAAUGGUAUUAAUAAGAUAUCAUAUCGCCACACCCCUAUGUGCAAAGUUAGCUGCUGAGACCUGUGACCUGGCACACACAGCUAUAGCUAAUGGAAAAAAUCAUGGCAAGCAGGAUUGAAAAUAUCUGCAUAUGGAAAGGAGAGUUCUUUGUUCAAAAUUCAAUAUUCAUGGGCUCAUGCUAACCUUCCGAUAUUGUACACCCAAAAUCUAGCCUGCCUUCACUUACAUGACAUGGAUCAAUACAUGCUGGGGAAUUAAAAAAUCACUGAUCCUGCCACAAUCAGGUCCUAUUUCAGAAUUGUGACUUCUGCAGCUCUUUGCCUACCAUGUUAAACCCAGCAGUGUACACAAUAAAUUAUUCUUUCUAUUCUAGUAUAUGGGCACACAAAAAUCUCUUUUCUCUUAUUCAAAUGGACAGUUGACUGCUGUGGGAUGGUCUGUAUGUCAAAUUGCUCUGAUUGGUCAACAAAUAAAACACUGAUUGGCCAGUGGCUAGGCAGGAAGUAUAGGCAGGACUAACAGAGAGGAGAAAAGAAAGAACAGGAAGGCAGAAGGAGUCACUGCCAGCUGCUGCCAGGACAAGCAGCAUGUGAAGA